rnacentral:rRNA from 1 species
CCUACGGGAGACAGCAGUGAGGAAUAUUGGUCAAUGGACGAGAGUCUGAACCAGCCAAGUAGCGUGAAGGAUGACUGCCCUAUGGGUUGUAAACUUCUUUUAUAUGGGAAUAAAAUGUUCCACGUGUGUGAUUUUGUAUGUACCAUAUGAAUAAGGAUCGGCUAACUCCGUGCCAGCAGCCGCGGUAAUACGGAGGAUCCGAGCGUUAUCCGGAUUUAUUGGGUUUAAAGGGAGCGUAGGUGGAUUGUUAAGUCAGUUGUGAAAGUUUGCGGCUCAACCGUAAAAUUGCAGUUGAAACUGGCAGUCUUGAGUACAGUAGAGGUGGGCGGAAUUCGUGGUGUAGCGGUGAAAUGCUUAGAUAUAACGAAGAACUCCGAUUGCGAAGGCAGUUCACUGGACUGCAACUGACACUGAGGCUCGAAAGUGUGGGUAUCAAACAGGAUUAGAUACCCGUGUAGUC